GUAACACGUGGGCAACCUGCCCUCGAGUCCGGGAUACCCUCUCGAAAGGGAGGCUAAUACCAGAUACGUUCCUCGGAUCGCGAGAUCUGGGGAGGAAAGGUGGCGAAAGCUACCGCUCUUGGAGGGGCUCGCGGCCUAUCAGCUAGUUGGUGAGGUAAUGGCUCACCAAGGCUAUGACGGGUAGCUGGUCUGAGAGGACGACCAGCCACACGGGAACUGAGACACGGUCCCGACUCCUACGGGAGGCAGCAGUGGGGAAUUUUCCGCAAUGGGCGAAAGCCUGACGGAGUGACGCCGCGUGGGGGACGAAGGCCUUCGGGUCGUAAACCCCUGUCAGAGGGAAAGAAGGGUCGCCGACCUAACACGUCGGUGAUCUGACGGUACCUUCAGAGGAAGCCCCGGCCAACUCUGUGCCAGCAGCCGCGGUAAGACAGAGGGGGCAAGCGUUGCUCGGAAUCACUGGGCGUAAAGGGCGCGUAGGCGGGAUGGCAAGUCGGUCGUGAAAUCCUUCGGCCCAACCGAAGAACGUCGGCCGAUACUGCCGUUCUUGAGGGAUGCAGAGGAGACUGGAACUCCCGGUGUAGCGGUGAAAUGUGUAGAGAUCGGGAGGAAC
rnacentral:rRNA from 1 species